rnacentral:rRNA from 1 species
UACGAAGGGUGCAAGCGUUAAUCGGAAUUACUGGGCGUAAAGAGCUCGUAGGCGGUUUGUCGCGUCUGUCGUGAAAGCCCACGGCUUAACCGUGGGUCUGUGGUGGAUACGGGCAGACUAGAGGCAGGUAGGGGAGAAUGGAAUUCCCGGUGUAGCGGUGAAAUGCGCAGAUAUCGGGAGGAACACCGGUGGCGAAGGCGGUUCUCUGGGCCUGUACUGACGCUGAGGAGCGAAAGCGUGGGGAGCGAACAGG